GGGACCGACCUGGCUUCGACGUGGGUGCGGAGUCGGCGCGGGGCAUGCCGAGCACCAGUUCGCUCGUGAAUCCACUGGAAACAAAGUAACUGCGAACGAUUCUUCGUACGCCCUCGCCGCUUAAAACCGGUGAGCCUCGCAACAGUUGGCCCAUGGGCUGGGCCUGAAGUCGCAAGACGGCAGGCUGCGAGGUCAUACACAUGGGCUCGUCCUGCGGUGUGUCAUUCACCGCAGGCCUAAAUCCAAAUGACUCGGGGAACCGGUAGCGUGCUGCUGCGCGAUCGGGGCUCCUAAAUCCAAAUCAGACAGCUACGCAUGUAGAACCGUCCGGCGAUGGCUUGCGGACGGGGGUUCGAUUCCCCCCGGUUCCACCA
rnacentral:tmRNA from 1 species